rnacentral:misc_RNA from 1 species
GAAAUGCGAUAAGUAAUGUGAAUUGCAGAAUUCAGUGAAUCAUCGAAUCUUUGAACGCACAUUGCGCCCGCCAGUAUUCUGGCGGGCAUGCCUGUUCGAGCGUCAUUUCAACCAUCAAGCCCCCGGCUUGUGUUGGGGACCUGCGGCUGCCCGCAGGCCCUGAAAACCAGUGGCGGGCUCGCUGUCACACCGAGCGUAGUAGCAAUCACCUCGCUCAGGGCGUGCUGCGGGUUCCGGCCGUUAAACAGCCUUACAAAACCCAAGGUUGACCUCGGAUCAGGUAGGAAGACCCGCUGAACUUAAGC